rnacentral:misc_RNA from 1 species
GAACGCACAUUGCGCCCGCCAGUAUUCUGGCGGGCAUGCCUGUCUGAGCGUCAUUUCAACCCUCAUGCCCCUAGGGCGUGGUGUUGGGGAUCGGCCAAAGCCCGCAAGGGACGGCCGGCCCCUAAAUCUAGUGGCGGACCCGUCGUGGCCUCCUCUGCGAAGUAGUAAUAUUCCGCAUCGGACAGCGCCGAGCCCCUGCCGUUAAACCCCCAACUUUCUAAGGUUGACCUCAGAUCAGGUAGGAAUACCCGCUGAACUUAAG